rnacentral:tRNA from 1 species
GGGCCUAUAGCUCAGUUGGCUAGAGCGUUCGGCUGAUAACCGAAAGGUCAGUGGUCCGAGUCCACUUAGGCCCACCA